rnacentral:rRNA from 1 species
GCUUGACUGUUAUCUUGGAAUUGGGUUCGGGCUUUUCUUGCGCAGACUAGGUGGGAGGCCUAUGAAGAUGUUUCUUCUGGGAAAGUUGGAGCCAACAGUGAGAGACCACUCCUGGAAAGGCUAGAAUCCUAAUGGUGAUCCUUGAAUCAGGACACUUGGACAGUUUCAGGUGGGCAGUUUUUCUGGGCGAAGCCUCAUAAAAGGUAACUGAGGCGCGCAAAGGUCCCCUCAGUCUGGACGGAAAUCAGACAUUGAGUUGUAAAGGCAAAAGGGGGCUUGACUGCAAGGACCCACAAGUCGAGCAGGGGCCGAAAGCCUGGGCCUUAGUGAUCCGACGGUGCCGUGUGGAAGGGGCCGGUCGCUCAACGAAUAAAAGUUA